CACGUAGGGUGCGAGCGUUGUCCGGAAUUAUUGGGCGUAAAGAGCUCGUAGGCGGUGUGUCGCGUCGGCCGUGAAACCUGCAGCUUAACUGUGGGCUUGCGGUCGAUACGGGGCAUCACUGGAGUUCGGCAGGGGAGACUGGAAUUCUGGUGUAGCGGUGAAAUGCGCAGAUAUCAGGAGGAACACCCGGUGGCGAAGGCGGGUCUCUGGGCCGAUACUGACGCUGAGGAGCGAAGCGUGGGAGCGAACAGG
rnacentral:rRNA from 1 species